rnacentral:rRNA from 1 species
AGCAGCCGCGGUAAUUCCAGCUCCAAUAGCGUAUAUUAAAGUUGUUGCAGUUAAAAAGCUCGUAGUUGAACUUCGGGGUUUACCCAUUGGUCAGGCUUAAUUGUCUGUACUGGUGAGAUAAAUCUCUACCUUCUGAGGAACUUUCAUGUCAUUAAUUUGGUGUGAUUGGAAAUCAGGACUGUUACUUUGAAAAAUUAGAGUGUUUAAAGCAGGCUAACGUCUGAAUACAUUAGCAUGGAAUAAUGAAAUAGGACGGACUGAUUCUAUUUCGUUGGUUUCUAGGAUCACCGUAAUGAUUAAUAGGGAUAGUUGGGGGCAUUAGUAUUCAAUUGUCAGAGGUGAAAUUCCUGGAUUUAUUGAAGACUAACUACUGCGAAAGCAUUUGCCAAGGAUGUUUUCAUUAAUCAAGAGCGAAAGUUAGGGGAUCGAAGACGAUCAGAUACCGUCGUAGUCUUAACCAUAAACUAUGCCGACUAGGGAUCGGACGAAGUUAAUUUUAUAAUGACGCGUUCGGCACCUU